GAAGUGUUUUUAGUUUUCCCUUCAGUGCCUGAAAAUGAAGACAUGAAUGCUGGGGGAGAAAGGGAUGAAUGUAUGGAAAAAAGAAAAAGAAACCCAUCGAGUAUAAGCGUUCUUACUUAGCAUACUGAAGUCUUCAGCCUUGGGGUUCAGGGUGCUGGCAAGGAAGCAGAGGAUGUCUAAGUUUGUGCAGCAACAGCCUAAUGUGGCAAGCGAGCAGCUGCCUGCAUGGGGCGGAAUACCACUUUGUGCCUGCAAAAUGGAUGAUCAGAAACAAACCAACUGCAAAACAUGCUGGACUCAUUAAAUUCAGGAGACUUCCCAGCCAUAGAUUUUGUUGUUGACUGGCUUUUAUCUUCGUCAGUACUGGCUGCUUUCAAUUCACAGUUCCAAUGCAAGAUAAAAAUAAAAAGGUACCUGAAAACUUGGUUCCCCCAUCCAAGGUUUUGUCACCAACUUAGACUGAGUGUUCAAGGACAGGGCCCACAAGGGCUUAUAGGUGUGCUUAUUGAUUCAGUUCUGCAAUAAAAAUAAUAAGCAUUAAACAACGGAAUGGUUGCAAUCGUAAUGGAAAACUACAGAACUGGAGAGGAUCCUACAAAACAAGCAGAAAAAGAAGUGGAAACUCAAGAAGCAGAAUAAACAAAAAAAAGGACACUGAAACGAAGAAAAAAUUUCAAGAGAAAAAUGUAAACAGGAACAGAUGGGAAGGAACAAAACUAGAAGGCAGAGAAAUUUUGCAGAAAAAUAUAUGAAAGGAGGAGACAGAGCAAGAGAAAUGCUCAAAGAUGGAACAAACAAAAAAAUACAGAGUUCUGGCACUCAUUAUUCAGACAAAAUUUUCUGCUACCUUUCCCGUGAAAGGUUAGGAAUCUGCCUUUGGACUCUUCAUGCAGACAAAAUUAAUGAACUACGCUUCAGGAAGGUAAAUGCAUGU